UCAGUCGAAUGAAUUUCAAUA
ensembl:piRNA 21ur-15092 ncRNA